UUUAUGGAGAGUUUGAUCCUGGCUCAGGAUGAACGCUGGCGGCGUGCCUAAUACAUGCAAGUCGAGCGAACGGACGAGAAGCUUGCUUCUCUGAUGUUAGCGGCGGACGGGUGAGUAACACGUGGAUAACCUACCUAUAAGACUGGGAUAACUUCGGGAAACCGGAGCUAAUACCGGAUAAUAUUUUGAACCGCAUGGUUCAAAAGUGAAAGACGGUCUUGCUGUCACUUAUAGAUGGAUCCGCGCUGCAUUAGCUAGUUGGUAAGGUAACGGCUUACCAAGGCAACGAUGCAUAGCCGACCUGAGAGGGUGAUCGGCCACACUGGAACUGAGACACGGUCCAGACUCCUACGGGAGGCAGCAGUAGGGAAUCUUCCGCAAUGGGCGAAAGCCUGACGGAGCAACGCCGCGUGAGUGAUGAAGGUCUUCGGAUCGUAAAACUCUGUUAUUAGGGAAGAAGAUAUGUGUAAGUAACUGUGCACAUCUUGACGGUACCUAAUCAGAAAGCCACGGCUAACUACGUGCCAGCAGCCGCGGUAAUACGUAGGUGGCAAGCGUUAUCCGGAAUUAUUGGGCGUAAAGCGCGCGUAGGCGGUUUUUUAAGUCUGAUGUGAAAGCCCACGGCUCAACCGUGGAGGGUCAUUGGAAACUGGAAAACUUGAGUGCAGAAGAGGAAAGUGGAAUUCCAUGUGUAGCGGUGAAAUGCGCAGAGAUAUGGAGGAACACCAGUGGCGAAGGCGACUUUCUGGUCUGUAACUGACGCUGAUGUGCGAAAGCGUGGGGAUCAAACAGGAUUAGAUACCCUGGUAGUCCACGCCGUAAACGAUGAGUGCUAAGUGUUAGGGGGGUUUCCGCCCCUUAGUGCUGCAGCUAACGCAUUAAGCACUCCGCCUGGGGAGUACGACCGCAAGGUUGAAACUCAAAGGAAUUGACGGGGACCCGCACAAGCGGUGGAGCAUGUGGUUUAAUUCGAAGCAACGCGAAGAACCUUACCAAAUCUUGACAUCCUUUGACAACUCUAGAGAUAGAGCCUUCCCCUUCGGGGGACAAAGUGACAGGUGGUGCAUGGUUGUCGUCAGCUCGUGUCGUGAGAUGUUGGGUUAAGUCCCGCAACGAGCGCAACCCUUAAGCUUAGUUGCCAUCAUUAAGUUGGGCACUCUAAGUUGACUGCCGGUGACAAACCGGAGGAAGGUGGGGAUGACGUCAAAUCAUCAUGCCCCUUAUGAUUUGGGCUACACACGUGCUACAAUGGACAAUACAAAGGGCAGCGAAACCGCGAGGUCAAGCAAAUCCCAUAAAGUUGUUCUCAGUUCGGAUUGUAGUCUGCAACUCGACUACAUGAAGCUGGAAUCGCUAGUAAUCGUAGAUCAGCAUGCUACGGUGAAUACGUUCCCGGGUCUUGUACACACCGCCCGUCACACCACGAGAGUUUGUAACACCCGAAGCCGGUGGAGUAACCUUUUAGGAGCUAGCCGUCGAAGGUGGGACAAAUGAUUGGGGUGAAGUCGUAACAAGGUAGCCGUAUCGGAAGGUGCGGCUGGAUCACCUCCUUUCU
rnacentral:rRNA from 1 species